GCUUACGGCUAUACCAGUUUGAAAGUGCCUGAUCUCGUCAGAUCUCAGAAGUCAUGCAGACUUGGGCCUGUUUAGUACUUGUAUGGGAGACCAACUAGGAACCUCAGGUGCCGUAAGCU
rnacentral:rRNA from 1 species